rnacentral:rRNA from 1 species
UACGGAGGAUGCGAGCGUUAUCCGGAUUUAUUGGGUUUAAAGGGUGCGUAGGCGGAUCGUUAAGUCAGUGGUCAAAUUGAGGGGCUCAACCCCUUCCCGCCAUUGAAACUGGCGAUCUUGAGUGGAAGAGAAGUAUGCGGAAUGCGUGGUGUAGCGGUGAAAUGCAUAGAUAUCACGCAGAACCCCGAUUGCGAAGGCAGCAUGCCGGCUUCCGACUGACGCUGAGGCACGAAAGCGUGGGGAUCGAACAGG